GACGAACGCUGGCGGCGUGCUUAACACAUGCAAGUCGAACGGAAAGGCCCUGCUUUUGUGGGGUGCUCGAGUGGCGAACGGGUGAGUAACACAUGUGUAACCUGCCCUUGUCUUUGUGAUAACUUCAGGAAACUGGGGCUCAUACCGGAUAGGAGCUCCUGCUGCAUGGUGGGGGUUGGUAAGAUUCGGCGGUUGGGGAUGGACUCGCGGCUUAUCAGCUUGUUGGUGGGGUAGUGGCUUACCAAGGCUUUGACGGGUAGCCGGCCUGAGAGGGUGACCGGCCACAUUGGGACUGCGAUACGGACCAGACUCCUACGGGAGGCAGCAGUGGGGAAUAUGGCAGAAUGGGGGGAAGCCUGAGGCAGCAACGCCGCGUGCGGGAUGACGUCCUUCGGGUUGUAAACCGAUUUCGACUGUGACGAAGCGUGAGUGACGGUAAUGGGUAAAGAAGCACCGGCUAACUACGUG
rnacentral:rRNA from 1 species